rnacentral:lncRNA from 1 species
AUUGGGAAACCUUAUGACCUCCCCUCAGAGCCUCCCUCAGACCUUCCCACACACCAAGGCUAACCUUUGGGGUCCUCAAAGGUGACCAGAGCAGAACCUUCAGGCAGAGGACAGCAGACCUUUAAGUUAGAAACUAGAAACUUGGGCACUUGCCUGCCCUGCUUAGUGUGGCCUUGGAAUACCAGAGGAACUUCAGGCACCGGGAAUGGAAUCUGGAGGUUGGGAGAGGGAGGAAUACCUCCGUUCCCAUCUGACCUCAGCUCUGGAAGAGCCUAUGCACUCCCUUUUGAGCUGCUGCAGCUCCUGCAGCCUCAUCUUGAGCCUGGCUUGCUCCUCCUGAAGAC